GAUGAACGCUGGCGGCGUGCCUAAUACAUGCAAGUCGAGCGAACGGACGAGAAGCUUGCUUCUCUGAUGUUAGCGGCGGACGGGUGAGUAACACGUGGAUAACCUACCUAUAAGACUGGGAUAACUUCGGGAAACCGGAGCUAAUACCGGAUGAUAUUUUGAACCGCAUGGUUCAAAAGUGAAAGACGGUCUUGCUGUCACUUAUAGAUGGAUCCGCGCUGCAUUAGCUAGUUGGUAAGGUAACGGCUUACCAAGGCAACGAUGCAUAGCCGACCUGAGAGGGUGAUCGGCCACACUGGAACUGAGACACGGUCCAGACUCCUACGGGAGGCAGCAGUAGGGAAUCUUCCGCAAUGGGCGAAAGCCUGACGGAGCAACGCCGCGUGAGUGAUGAAGGUCUUCGGAUCGUAAAACUCUGUUAUUAGGGAAGAACAUAUGUGUAAGUAACUGUGCACAUCUUGACGGUACCUAAUCAGAAAGCCACGGCUAACUACGUGCCAGCAGCCGCGGUAAUACGUAGGUGGCAAGCGUUAUCCGGAAUUAUUGGGCGUAAAGCGCGCGUAGGCGGUUUUUUAAGUCUGAUGUGAAAGCCCACGGCUCAACCGUGGAGGGUCAUUGGAAACUGGAAAACUUGAGUGCAGAAGAGGAAAGUGGAAUUCCAUGUGUAGCGGUGAAAUGCGCAGAGAUAUGGAGGAACACCAGUGGCGAAGGCGACUUUCUGGUCUGUAACUGACGCUGAUGUGCGAAAGCGUGGGGAUCAAACAGGAUUAGAUACCCUGGUAGUCCACGCCGUAAACGAUGAGUGCUAAGUGUUAGGGGGUUUCCGCCCCUUAGUGCUGCAGCUAACGCAUUAAGCACUCCGCCUGGGGAGUACGACCGCAAGGUUGAAACUCAAAGGAAUUGACAGGGACCCGCACAAGCGGUGGAGCAUGUGGUUUAAUUCGAAGCAACGCGAAGAACCUUACCAAAUCUUGACAUCCUUUGACAACUCUAGAGAUAGAGCCUUCCCCUUCGGGGGACAAAGUGACAGGUGGUGCAUGGUUGUCGUCAGCUCGUGUCGUGAGAUGUUGGGUUAAGUCCCGCAACGAGCGCAACCCUUAAGCUUAGUUGCCAUCAUUAAGUUGGGCACUCUAAGUUGACUGCCGGUGACAAACCGGAGGAAGGUGGGGAUGACGUCAAAUCAUCAUGCCCCUUAUGAUUUGGGCUACACACGUGCUACAAUGGACAAUACAAAGGGCAGCGAAACCGCGAGGUCAAGCAAAUCCCAUAAAGUUGUUCUCAGUUCGGAUUGUAGUCUGCAACUCGACUACAUGAAGCUGGAAUCGCUAGUAAUCGUAGAUCAGCAUGCUACGGUGAAUACGUUCCCGGGUCU
rnacentral:rRNA from 1 species